rnacentral:rRNA from 1 species
UACGGAGGAUGCGAGCGUUAUCCGGAUUUAUUGGGUUUAAAGGGUGCGUAGGCGGACGCUUAAGUCAGCGGUAAAAUUGCGGGGUUCAACCUCGUCGAGCCGUUGAAACUGGGUGCCUUGAGUGGGCGAGAAGUACGCGGAAUGCGUGGUGUAGCGGUGAAAUGCAUAGAUAUCACGCAGAACUCCGAUUGCGAAGGCAGCGUACCGGCGCCCUACUGACGCUGAAGCACGAAGGCGUGGGUAUCGAACAGG